AUUGAACGCUGGCGGCAGGCCUAACACAUGCAAGUCGAACGGUAGCACAGAGAGCUUGCUCUCGGGUGACGAGUGGCGGACGGGUGAGUAAUGUCUGGGAAACUGCCUGAUGGAGGGGGAUAACUACUGGAAACGGUAGCUAAUACCGCAUAACGUCGCAAGACCAAAGAGGGGGACCUUCGGGCCUCUUGCCAUCGGAUGUGCCCAGAUGGGAUUAGCUAGUAGGUGGGGUAAUGGCUCACCUAGGCGACGAUCCCUAGCUGGUCUGAGAGGAGGACCAGCCAACCUGGAACUGAGACACGGUCCAGACUCCUACGGGAGGCAGCAGUGGGGAAUAUUGAACAAUGGGGGAAAGCCUGAUGAGGCCAUGCCGCGUGUAUGAAGAAGGCCUUCGGGUUGUAAAGUACUUUCAGCGAGGAGGAAGGUGUUGAGGUUAAUAACCUCAGCAAUUGACGUUACUCGCAGAAGAAGCACCGGCUAACUCCGUGCCAGCCGCCGCCGUAA
rnacentral:rRNA from 1 species